rnacentral:rRNA from 1 species
UACAGAGGUCUCAAGCGUUGUUCGGAUUCAUUGGGCGUAAAGGGUGCGUAGGUGGCGCUGUAAGUCGGGUGUGAAAUUUCGGAGCUUAACUCCGAAACUGCAUUCGAUACUGCGGUGCUUGAGGACUGGAGAGGAGACUGGAAUUCAUGGUGUAGCAGUGAAAUGCGUAGAGAUCAUGAGGAAGACCAGUGGCGAAGGCGGGUCUCUGGACAGUUCCUGACACUGAUGGACGAAAGCGUGGGGAGCGAACAGG